UACGUAGGGUGCGAGCGUUAAUCGGAAUUACUGGGCGUAAAGUGUGCGCAGGCGGCAGAGCAAGUCGAGUGUGAAAGCCCCGGGCUUAACUUGGGAAUUGCGCUCGAAACUACUUUGCUGGAGUGUGGCAGAGGAAGGUGGAAUUCCACGUGUAGCGGUGAAAUGACGUAGAGAUGUGGAGGAACACCAAUGGCGAAGGCGAGCCUCU
rnacentral:rRNA from 1 species